rnacentral:rRNA from 1 species
GGAGCAAACAGGAUUAGAUACCCUGGUAGUCCACGCCGUAAACGAUGGAUGCUAGCCGUUGGGCAGCUUGCUGCUCAGUGGCGCAGCUAACGCUUUAAGCAUCCCGCCUGGGGAGUACGGUCGCAAGAUUAAAACUCAAAGGAGUUGACGGGGGCCCGCACAAGCGGUGGAGCAUGUGGUUCAAUUCGAAGCAACGCGCAGAACCUUACCAGCCCUUGACAUGCCACGACGGUUUCCAGAGAUGGACUCCUCCCCGCAAGGGGCGUGGACACAGGUGCUGCAUGGCUGUCGUCAGCCCGUGUCGUAAGAUGUUGGGUUAAGUCCCGCAACGAGCGCAACCCUCGCCCUUAGUUGCCAUCAUUUAGUUGGGCACUCUAAGGGGACUGCCGGUGAUGAGCCGCGAGGAAGGUGGCGAUGACGUCAAGUCCUCAUGGCCCUUACGGGCUGGGCUACACACGUGCUACAAUGGCGGUGACAGUGGGACGCGAAGGGGUGACCCUUAGCAAAUCUCAAAAAGCCGUCUCAGUUCGGAUUGGGGUCUGCAACUCGACCCCAUGAAGUCGGAAUCGCUAGUAAUCGCAGAUCAGCACGCUGCGGUGAAUACGUUCCCGGGCCUUGUACACACCGCCCGUCACACACCAUAGAGUUGGCA